UACGUAGGGGGCAAGCGUUAUCCGGAUUUACUGGGUGUAAAGGGAGCGCAGGCGGCGUGGCAAGUCAGAUGUGAAAACCCGGGGCCCAACCCCGGGAGUGCAUUUGAAACUGCCAUACUGGAGUGCCGGAGAGGUAAGUGGAAUUCCUAGUGUAGCGGUGAAAUGCGUAGAUAUACGGAGGAACACCAGUGGCGAAGGCGGAUUGCUGGACAGUAACUGACGCUGAGGCGCGAAAGCGUGGGGAGCAAACAGG
rnacentral:rRNA from 1 species